rnacentral:rRNA from 1 species
UACAGAGGGUGCAAGCGUUGUUCGGAAUUAUUGGGCGUAAAGGGAGUGUAGGCGGCUAGGAAAGUCUUCUGUGAAAUCUACGGGCUCAGCCUGUAACGUGCAGAGGAAACUAUCUGGCUAGAGUGUCGGAGAGGAUAGGGGAAUACCCGGUGUAGAGGUGAAAUUCGUAGAGAUCGGGUGGAACACCAGUGGCGAAGGCGCCGGUCUGGCUGACAACUGACGCUGAGACUCGAAAGCAUGGGGAGCAAACAGG